UACGUAGGGGGCUAGCGUUGUCCGGAAUCAUUGGGCGUAAAGCGCGCGUAGGCGGCCAGAUAAGUCCGGUGUGAAAGUCACAGGCUCAACCUGUGAAUGCCGCUGGAAACUGUCUGGCUUGAGUCCGGAAGGGGCGAGUGGAAUUCCUGGUGUAGCGGUGAAAUGCGCAGAUAUCAGGAGGAACACCAAUAGCGAAGGCAGCUCGCUGGGACGUUACUGACACUGAGGCGCGAAAGCGUGGGGAGCGAACAGG
rnacentral:rRNA from 1 species